rnacentral:rRNA from 1 species
UACGGAGGAUCCGAGCGUUAUCCGGAUUUAUUGGGUUUAAAGGGUGCGCAGGCGGCCUUUUAAGUCAGCGGUAAAAUCGUGGGGCUCAACCCCAUCCUGCCGUUGAUACUGGAGGGCUUGAUUGCGGUCGAGGUAGGCGGAAUUCGUCGUGUAGCGGUGAAAUGCAUAGAUAUGACGAAGAACACCGAUUGCGUAGGCAGCUUACCAGACCGUAAAUGACGCUCAGGCACGAAAGUGCGGGGAUCGAACA